rnacentral:misc_RNA from 1 species
GUUUUUGAAACUGAAGAUCUCCAAUCAACUGCUGCUGCUGCUGCUGCUGAGACCUUCAUGAACCCACUUAAUUUGAUCUACCUCAACCACCCCAUCAUGGCAUCUCCAGAUUUCUUUCAGUAUUGAUGUCUUCAGGAGGAUUCAAAGCUAGAAAUUGGUCAAUCUAUGGUUGUCUCUAAUUUCUUCUUCAUAUUUCAUUGGUGGUCUGUCCAUAGUCUUUUUUUAGCAGUAGUGUUGAAUGCUAUUUUUUUUUUUGGUCAAAUAUUGAAUGCUUGUUUAAUUAGCUUAGGAUGACCAACAUGUCUAUGAAAGAGUCGUAGAA